UUGAUGCUGCGAUUAUAACUGCCUGUGAUGUGUCGUUUGCAUGUGAUGUAAAUGAGAGCGGGGUAGAUAGGUUUACAUGUGAUGUAGCAAACCCAAUUGAGACCUAAAUUAAAACCUCCUCAAUCAAGUCGAGAGUGAACCAACAUGAGCGAGUCAUAUUAGAUUAAUUGAUCUAAUUGGUGUCUACGAAAGCAUGAAAGGUGGUUACUUAAUUAGGACCUUACUCUCUGAGUAAGGGGAGCCUCCCACCUGUUUACCUGGCCAAUUGUUCGAUUACCUCUUAU
rnacentral:lncRNA from 1 species